AGUGAACGCUGGCGGUGGGCCUAACACAUGCAAGUCGAACGGAAGCACAGUAAGAGCUUGCUCUUACGGGUGGCGAGUGGCGGACGGGUGAGGAAUACAUCAGAAUCUACUUUUUCGGGGGGGAUAACGUGGGGAAACUUACGCUAAUACCGCAUACGACCUACGGGUGAAAGCAGGAGAUCUUCGGACCUUGCGCGAUUGAAUGAGCCGAUGUCGGAUUAGCUAGUUGGCGGGGUAAAGGCCCACCAAGGCGACGAUCCGUAGCUGGUCUGAGAGGAUGAUCAGCCACACUGGAACUGAGACACGGUCCAGACUCCUACGGGAGGCAGCAGUGGGGAAUAUUGGACAAUGGGCGCAAGCCUGAUCCAGCCAUACCGCGUGGGUGAAGAAGGCCUUCGGGUUGUAAAGCCCUUUUGUUGGGAAAGAAAAGCAGCAGGUUAAUACCCCGCUGUUCUGACGGUACCCAAAGAAUAAGCACCGGCUAACUUCGUG
rnacentral:rRNA from 1 species